GGCGUGAGAUGUUUUGGUUUGCACCCCUACGUGCAAUAUAAAUAGGGGUGCACGCCGAGGAGUCUGUGUGCAUUCAGAAUUCUUCCUUCUUUCUUACAAGAGGCUUUUCUUGUCCAAUUUUCUUUAUUCUUUCUCUCUAGCCUAGAUAAGGUCCUGAUAAAGGAUAAAAAGUUUUUCAAAAGGCUUAGAGAAUUAGAAUAAAAAUUAAGAAGACAAGAAGCAAGAAAGGAAGG
rnacentral:lncRNA from 1 species